rnacentral:rRNA from 1 species
CAGGCCUAACACAUGCAAGUCGAACGGUCCUUCGGGAUAGUGGCGGACGGGUGAGUAACACGUGGGAACGUACCCUUAGGUUCGGAACAACACAGGGAAACUUGUGCUAAUACCGGAUAAGCCCUUCGGGGGAAAGAUUUAUCGCCUUUGGAGCGGCCCGCGUCUGAUUAGCUUGUUGGUGAGGUAAUGGCUCACCAAGGCUACGAUCAGUAGCUGGUCUGAGAGGAUGGCCAGCCACACUGGGACUGAGACACGGCCCAGACUCCUACGGGAGGCAGCAGUGGGGAAUCUUGCGCAAUGGGCGAAAGCCUGACGCAGCCAUGCCGCGUGGAUGAUGAAGGUCUUAGGAUUGUAAAAUCCUUUCACCGGGGACGAUAAUGACGGUACCCGGAGAAGAAGCCCCGGCUAACUUCGUGCCAGCAGCCGCGGUAAUACGAAGGGGGCUAGCGUUGCUCGGAAUUACUGGGCGUAAAGGGCGCGUAGGCGGACAGUUAAGUUGGGGGUGAAAGCCCGGGGCUCAACCUCGGAAAUGCCUUCAAUACUGGCUGUCUUGAGUACGGGAGAGGUGAGUGGAACUCCGAGUGUAGAGGUGAAAUUCGUAGAUAUUCGGAAGAACACCAGUGGCGAAGGCGACUCACUGGCCCGUUACUGACGCUGAGGCGCGAAAGCGAGGGGAGCAAACAGGAUUAGAUACCCUGGUAGUCCACGCCGUAAACGAUGAGUGCUAGUUGUCGGCAUGCAUGCAUGUCG